AAUUGGUGCAGUCUAUCGGCUUGGAUGCAAACGAUUGGAUAGAGAUGAAGUCCAGCAUGUUGUUAAUGAAGAAAUUUGUUGGAAGCUCUUGGACCCCACCAGGCAUUUUUGACAGAAGGAGUGAAGGCAUGGUAGAAUUUUUGGCUUGUCAAAUGUUUCCAAACAAACAGGACAUUUCAGAAGUUGCUCCGAUAAUUGGCUGAUAUUGACUGUCGCCAUGGAGAAUUGAAUUUUUUGAUCCUGAACUAACUUCAAAUAAUUAUCUUUUUAUUGGACUGAAUACUCUCUUCAUUCAAUAGCUCUGCGUGCAGCAUGAGCUUAUGCAUUCACCUGGCUUGUUUGAUAACAAAUACACGUCACUAUGAAGCUAUUAGGUACAUUGUCAAUAAAGAUCAGCAUCUUUUCCUCUCAA